rnacentral:rRNA from 1 species
GAUUGGUGCUUGCAUCAUGAUUUACAUUUGAGUGAGUGGCGAACUGGUGAGUAACACGUGGGAAACCUGCCCAGAAGCGGGGGAUAACACCUGGAAACAGAUGCUAAUACCGCAUAACAACUUGGACCGCAUGGUCCGAGUUUGAAAGAUGGCUUCGGCUAUCACUUUUGGAUGGUCCCGCGGCGUAUUAGCUAGAUGGUGGGGUAACGGCUCACCAUGGCAAUGAUACGUAGCCGACCUGAGAGGGUAAUCGGCCACAUUGGGACUGAGACACGGCCCAAACUCCUACGGGAGGCAGCAGUAGGGAAUCUUCCACAAUGGACGAAAGUCUGAUGGAGCAACGCCGCGUGAGUGAAGAAGGGUUUCGGCUCGUAAAACUCUGUUGUUAAAGAAGAACAUAUCUGAGAGUAACUGUUCAGGUAUUGACGGUGUUUAACCAGAAAGACCCGGCUAAGUAAGUGGCAGCCGCCG